CACGGCGCAGGGGGGCGAAACACGUGGGCAAUCUGCCCUCUGAUGGGGAAUAACCCCGCGAAAGCGGGGCUAAUUCCGCAUAACAUUCCUUGAACUUCGGUUCGGGGAUUCAAAGCAGCAAUGCGUCAGAGGAGGAGCCCGCGCCCGAUUAGCUAGUUGGUGAGGUAACGGCUCACCAAGGCAAUGAUCGGUAGCUGGUCUGAGAGGAUGGCCAGCCACACUGGAACUGAGACACGGUCCAGACUCCUACGGGAGGCAGCAGUGGGGAAUCUUGCACAAUGGGCGAAAGCCUGAUGCAGCGACGCCGCGUGGGGGAUGAAGCAUUUCGGUGUGUAAACCCCUUUCGACUGGGACGAAUGCCUCGCAAGAGGAGUGACGGUACCAGUAUAAGAAGCCCCGGCUAACUACGUGCCAGCAGCCGCGGUAAGACGUAGGGGGCCAGCGUUGUUCGGAAUUACUGGGUGUAAAGGGUUCGUAGGCGGUGCGGCAAGUCGGGAGUGAAAUCUCUGGGCUCAACCCAGAGGCUGCUUCCGA
rnacentral:rRNA from 1 species